rnacentral:rRNA from 1 species
CAGCAGCCGCGGUAAUACGUAGGUGGCAAGCGUUGUCCGGAUUUAUUGGGCGUGAAGCGAGCGCAGGCGGUCAAUUAAGUCUGAUGUGAAAGCCCCCGGCCCAACCGGGGAGGGUCAUUGGAAACUGGGGAACUUGAGUGCAGUAGAGGAGAGUGGAGUUCCAUGUGUAGCGGUGAAAUGCGUUGAGAUCGGAGAGAACACCAACGGCGAAAGCACUCUGCUGGGCCGACACUGACACUGAGAGACGAAAGCUAGGGGAGCAAAUGGGAUUAGAUACCCCCGUAGUCCCUGUCUCUUAUAC